rnacentral:tRNA from 1 species
GAGAGUAUAGCUCAAGAGGUAGAACACAUGCUUAGCAUGCGUGAGGUCCUGGGUUCAAUCUCCAGUACUUCCA